rnacentral:lncRNA from 1 species
UCCGACAGAUUAUUUGUUUGCAGCCACUGAUCUUCUCCCUCGCUCAGCCGAGUGGUCUUCCACUCCUCCCAGCCGAGCUCUCCCUCUCCACGCAGCUCCCUCGCGGUGCUCCCAUGGCGCGCUUCCUCCAACGCCGGCCGGAGUCCUCUGCUGGCCAUCCCGCUUCCCUCUGUGUAGCGCCCAGCCAUCCCUCCGUCUGUUCGCCGGUGCCAUGGACAGCUCGCAGUCGCUACGCUGCCGGGAUCCUAGUCACAAUUUCUAAGCCGCCAUCGCGCCGUGCCGGUUGUCCGUCUUUGAUCCUCGCUCUGACGUCAUCUUGCCCAUGCAACGCUUGCUUGGUGCUCGCCAAAACGCCUGAAUCAGGACCAUCGUCGUUCUCGCGAUCAUCGAGUUGGCUUAGGUCGGUAAGCUGAUCUAUGAUUCCUGUUAGCUAAAUUGUUAGAUGGAUGAAACGAAUGAUGUGUUUAGUAGGAUCCGUUGGUGUCGCUUGUGCUUAACUGAUUUUUGUUUGUGUGGUAAAAAUUAGCUCUAGCGUAGGACUCUUCGGAUGUUCGGUAAAAUAAGUGAACUGCAGAUCGUCGUCGAUAUCGUGAAUUUGAGUUCGGUUUUGUGUGGUUAGCCAAUUCACUGUUAUUGGUCCUAUGCCCAGAGUGGUUAUAUAUACAAGUCGAUAAUGAUCUUGUCUGUAGCAUGCGUGUUGUGGUGUAUUAAAUGUUUGUGAAGUGCUUGUGAUCACGGUCGUAGAUUAGUCGUCAUGUGAAGGUUAGGUUUAGAUGUUUAUUAUGCGAUGAAUAUGUGGAUAAACCUAAGUGAAGUAGGAUUGAAUCGUUUCUAUAUUUGCGACAUGGUGUAUUAGUAAGACGAAGGAUAGGUUUCGUGUUUCGAAUGUUUUACUGGUAGGCGUGGUCAGUAUUGCCUGUGAUGAAUGAUGUUUGUUUAAAGAAGUCGAUGAGUCAUAUUCUAUGUUGGGUGAUCGGUUAAAUCACAUACAGGAAUAUUGAUCGUUUAAAUUAAUAAUCUUGAAUAACUAUUUACCGUGGUCCAAAUCAGUUGGAGGUAAGCAGCAUCGAUUGGUCCGCUUUAGUUAAAAUCCAAAAGCUACUUAGUGGUCAUCAUCCAUUAGUGUUUUAGGUCUUUAGAUUUUAAAUUGUGGACUCGUGAAAACUCUAUGUGGUUUGAUAAGGCUCUACUUGUUAGAAUAAGUGGCGUGAUGCUUGAUUUAGUUGAUGUGCUAUACAUGAUAAUCUAGAUUAGUAGUUCUAAAAGAUAAUUAAAGUAUUUCUAUUCGUUACCUUAAACUACAGGUAUCCGUGGUUGAUGUGUCUAAGUAUUGUUUGCCUUCAGUGUUAUGCUUUAGCUAAGUAAAGCAUAGAUCUUGUGAUAAAUUAUUGUUUCGUGAUGUUGAGUUAGAUCCGGAUAAGCUAGAGAAGCGAGAUUGUGGUGUUUAGUCAUUUAUCAACGUCUAGAGUUUACUCAUGGGUGUUGUAAUGCCUCGCCGCUAGAUGUUUAAAUCCGCUAUCGCGUAACACUAUUUAGGUUUGUAAUAUUUCCGUCGAUAUGCAUUCAUGUGCAUAAUGCAUUCCAUUCAGGUACGUUAAUUAAUCGCGCGAUGCGGAAAACGACCCAAGUCGACUCCAAGCACGGGCUACUCCGCAUGGUGAAGCUGAAGGACGAACACAAGGAUGGAUGACCUGACAAGUGCCAAGACAAAGAAUGGUCAUCAAGUGGACAUCGUCUAACAAACACUAACCUAGUGUUUCUUCCAGGCAAGCCCCGGUGCAUGCAACCCCUUUCCUUGUGUUUUUAAAUACUUUUCGCACACUUAAGUCUAGUGAAAUGUGCAUUAGGUUCAUAGGAAUUGCUCGAAACCCUUUGAUGCAUUGCUUUCCUUGAUAUCCAUACCUUUAUAGAUACUUCUGUGAAGUAUCAAAAUAUGAUUUACAAAAAUGCUUAGCCUUGCUUAGACCUUGUGGAUAGAGGUUGUCCUUAAUUUAACUCGAGAAAGGAUGGCGUCUACCUGCAAGAAUAUUUUCAUUUGGAGCAAUGAUGGGAUCUUACUGCAAAGUUCCCUGUGAUGCUCUUUCAUCCUAAGGAACAGACACAAUCCUAAGGAUGGAAAUACUUAAAUCGAGACUUGGGCUAGGAACAGGUGAUGCUCCGCCCGGGUCAAUUAAGGAUUGGAUGCGUAUGUAGGCCUGUUGAUCAAGGACUAUCUUAUCUAGCCACAUGCCCUGAGAAUGGGACAGGGUAAGCUUGAACCCGGCUAUUCCAUACAUGAAAAGACAAUCGCGCACUGGGCGUGGAGAGAUGGCGAGAGUGGCACGUACCCUCCUGGCAACGGAUCGCCUAAAAGGGGUGGUGUACUCUCGGGUGGCGCGGACCUGUUCAUGCAGUGGAGGAUCCGUGGGAAUAGUAGACAUCAAGGUUUACAAGAAACAUAUGUCGUGUGGUUAGAAAUCCUCAGCUGAGUAAAUCGAUUCGGAUCGCCGUUAUAUCCCCGGAGAGUGGAGACUUGAGCUCCGACCUACAACCUAAGUCAAGAUGUGAACACUAUGGAUAAAAAUGAUGUUGUAUUGAUGAGAUGAUGAAAUUAGACUAGAUGCAAAUAGAGUCUAUUAAAUAUUUAAUCUGGCGUUAAAAUAUUGAAAGUAAGGGCUCACUUUAGUAAGCUAUUUCUGCAAAAGUAUCUAAGUUGAUUCUAGCUAAAGCCUCUCCUUGAUUCCCAAAUCCAGCAUAUCCUUGAGAGUCUUUUCUUUAGUCGGGUAAGUCUUGCUGAGUAAUUCCAUACUCAGGGUUUUAUUCCCUGUUGUUUUUCAGGUUAUAGUUUUUGUGCUGCUGUUGAUGGUGUUAAGUGCCGGUGGGCUCGGCCUUCUUAUAUAAGUAUACCCCGCCUUUAUCUUCUUAUUGAGGAUGGUCACUUGAGCUAGCAUAUAUUUCAAAACUAUAAAUAAUUUAUAACCGUUCAAAGUUUCUUUCUUUGAAUCAAUGUAGUAAUCACUCUGAUCAUGUACGAAGUAAAAAUUUUGUAACUUGUAAAAUUUGGUAAUAAGAUUUCCGCUGCAAAAUAUUGGUGUGUGUGAUUUGUAUUACUUAAUCCCGCGGUUCUGGUUGUAAGUGGUUUAUCCGAUGUCCUUGGGGCAAUCGGACGGAUCCUGUUAAGUUAUUUAGUGCACAUGCAUAGCCGUCUGAGGUCUUUGAGACAAGGACAGGUGCAUGUGGGCCCAAUAACUUGGGAAGUUCUGCCACAACUCAAUAGGAUUAUUCGCCAUGCAGAUCGCACUCUCAUUGUCACAUAGGAGAGGGACUUUGCUUAACUUGUAGCCAUAGUCCGUAAGGGUUUGCCUCAUCUAGAGUAAUUGUGCACAGCAAUGUCCUACAGCAAUAUACUCGGCUUCGGCGGUGGAUAGAGCUACUGAAUUUUGUUUCUUUGAAGCCCAAGGCACCAAGGAUCUUCCCAAAACUGACAAAUCACUGAUGUGCUCUUUCUAUCAAUUUUACAUCCGACAUAAUCAGUAUCAGAAUACUCGAUUAGAUCAAAGGUAGAUCCCUUCGGGUACCAUAGCCCAAACUUAGGAGUGUAAACUAAAUAUCUCAUGAUUCUUUUCACGGCCUUUAGGUGGAUUUCCUUAGGGUUGGCCUGGAACCUUGCACACAUGCAUAUUGAAAGCAUAAUAUCCGAUCGUGAAUCACAUAAAUAGAGUAGAGAUCCUAUCAUCGACCUGUAUACCUUUUGAUCUACAGGCUUACCUCCUGUGUCAAGGUUGAGAUGUCCAUUUGUUCCCAUGGGAGUCUUGAUGGGUUUGGCAUUCUUCAUUCCAAACUUUUUGAGAAUAUCUUGAAUGUACUUUGUUUGGCAAAUGAAGGUGCCUUCUUGGAGUUGCUUGAUUUGGAAUCCAAGGAAAUACAUCAACUCCCCCAUCAUGGACAUCUUGAAUUUCUGUAUCAUAAUUCUACUAAACUCUUCACAAGAUGACUUGUUAGUAGACCCAAAGAUAAUAUCAUGAACAUAAAUUUGGCAUAUAAACAAGUCUUUGUCAAUUGUUUUAGUGAAGAGAGUAGGGUCAGCUUUUCCGACUUUAAAACCAUUAGUGAUAAGAAAGUCUCUUAGGCAUUCAUACCAUGCUCUUGGGGCUUGUUUGAGACCAUAAAGCGCCUUUGGGAGCUUAUAAACAUGUGAAGGGUACGCACUGUCUUCAAAGCCAGGAGGUUGCUCAACAUACACCUUUUCCUUGAUAGGGCCAUUGAGGAAGGGACUUUUCACAUCCAUUUGAUAUAACUUAAAGCCAUGGUAAGUAGCAUAGGCAAGUAAUAUUUGAAUUGACUCAAACCUAGCUACGGGUGCAUAUGUUUCAUCAAAAUCCAAACCUUCGACUUGUGAAUAUCCUUUUGCAACAAGUCGAGCUUUGUUCCUAGUCACCACUCCAUGCUUAUCUUGUUUGUUGCGGGAUAACCAUUUGGUACCUACAACAUUUUGGUUAGGACAUGUAACUAAAUGCCAUACCUCAUUCCUCGUGAAGUUGUUGAGCUACUCUUGUAUUGCCACCACCCAGUCUGGAUCUCUUAGUGCAUCAUCUAUCCUGUAUGGCUCAAUAGAAGACACAAAAGAGUAAUGUUCACAAAAAUGAGCAACUCGAGAUCGAGUAGUUACCCCUUUUUGAAUGUCACCAAGUAUGGAGUUGACGGGGUGAUCUCUUUGAAUUGCUUGGUGGACUCUUGGGUGAGGUGGUCUUUGAUCUUGAAUUUCUUGUUCAUCCUCCUUUCUUGAUCAACUUCAUCUCCCCCUUGAUCGAUGCCUUCUUCUUGAGGUGGUUCACUGUCUUGAUCUUGAUCCUCUUCUUCUUGAGCCAUUUCCUCAUCUUGAGUUGGUGGAGAUGCUUGUAUGGAAGAUGAUAGUUGAUCUUGUGCUUGUGAAGGCUCUUCAGGCUCUUGUGGGCACACAUCUCCAAUGGACAUGUUCCUUAGCGUGAUGCACAGAGCCUCUUCAUCAUCUAACUCAUCAAGAUCAACUUGCCCUACUUGAGGGCUGUUAGUCUCAUCAAACACAAUGUCACAAGAAACUUCAACUAAUCCAGUGGACUUGUUGAAGACUCUAUAUGCCCUUGUGAUUGAGUCAUAACUAAGUAAAAAGCCUUCUACUGCUUUAGGAGCAAAUUUUGAAUUUCUACCUCUUUUAAUAAGAAUAAAGCACUUGCUCCCAAAAACUCUAAAAUAAGAAACAUUGGGCUUUUUACCAGUGAGUAGUUCAUAUGAUGUUUCUUGAGGAUUCGUUGAAGAUAGAGUCGGUUGAUGGAGUAGCAAGCGGUGUUAAUCGCCUCUGCCCAAAACCGAUCUGAUGUCUUGUAUUCAUCAAGCAUGGUCCUUGCCAUAUCCAAAAGAGUUCUAUUCUUUCUUUCCACAACACCGUUUUGUUGAGGUGUGUAGGGAGAAGAGAACUCAUGCUUGAUGCCCUCCUCCUAAAGAAUUCCUUCAAUUUGAGAGUUCUUGAACUUUGUUCCAUUAUAGCUUCUAAUCUUCUUGAUUCUUAAUCCGAACUCAUUUUGAGCCCGUCUCAAGAAUUUAUUUAAUGUCUCUUGGGUUUGUGAUUUUUCCUGCAAAAAGAACACCCAAGUGAAGCAAGAAUAGUCAUUCACAAUUACAAGACAAUACUUACUCCCGUCGAUGCUUAUGUAGUUGAAUAGAUCCAUGUGGAGUAGUUGAAGCGGCCUCUCGGUCGUCAUGAUGUUCUUGAGUGGAUGAUGAACUCAACCUGCUUCCCUGCUUGACAUGCACUGCAAAUCCUGUCUUUCUCAAAAAGAACAUUGGUUAGUCCUAAAAUGUGUUCCACCUUUAGAAGCUUGUGAAGAUUAUUCAUCCCAACAUGAGCAAGUCGGUGAUGCUAGAGCUAGCCCAUGUUAGUCUUAGAAAUUAAGUAAGUGUUUAGUUCAUCAUUGUUAUCAUUGAAAUCAAUUAAAUAUAGUUGACCAUCUAAUACUCCCUUAAAAGCUAGUGAAUCAUCACUUCUUCUAAAGACGGUAACAUCAACAUCAGUAAAUAAACAAUUGUAGCCCAUUUUGCAUAAUUGAGAAACAGAAAGCAAGUUGUAAUCUAGAGAAUCUACAACAAAAACAUUAAAAAUGGAAUGGUCAGGAGAUAUAGCAAUUUUACCAAAUCCUUUUUCCAAACCUUGAUUUCCAUCCCCGAAUGUGAUUGCUCUUUGGGGAUCAUCAUUUUUCUCAUGAGGAGAACAUUCUUUUCUCCCCUUUAAUGUGGUUUGUGCACCCAUUGUCGAUUAUCCAACUUGUUCCGCCUGAUGCAUAAACCUACAACACAAAUUUAGGCCUUGUCCUUAGGUACCCAAACGGUCUUGGGUCCUUUCACAUUAGAAACAAGCACCUUGGGUACCUAAACACAAGUCUUUAGACUCUUGUGUUUGCCCCCAACAUAUUUGGCAACUACCUUGUCUGAUUUGUUAGCAAGAAACAAUGAUGCAUCAAAGGUUUUAAACGAAAUGCUAUGUUCAUUUGAUGCAUCAACAAUCUUUUUCUGAGGCAUCUUAACAUGAGUUGUAUGCCUAGAGCUAGAAGCCUCAUUACUGUAUAUAUAAGCAUGAUGAGCAGCAGGAUAAGAUUUCUUGCAUGAAUUCUUCUAAUUUUAUGCUCAGGACAGUUUUCAGGAUAUAAAAUGUAACCUUCUCUAUCCUGAACCAUGGGAGCCUUGCCCUUAACAAAGUUAGGAAUCUUGUUUCUAUGGGCAUUAAGUUUGAUGUUUCUUUGGCUCCCAGGUUGGACGCCAAUCCCAUCCUUAAUGCAAGGGUGUCUUUCAUUAUAAAACAUUAUACGAGAAAAUUUAAAAUUUUCACUUUCAGGCUCAAGCUCGAAAAUUUUAGAAUUCAACUUAGCUAUGUGAUCAUUUUGUAAUCAUAGCAAGGUGAUCAUUCACAGCAUCAACAUUAAUAUCUCUACAUCUAGUGCAAAUAGUAACAUGCUCAAUGGUAGAUGUAGAAACUUUGCAAGCAUUCAAUUCCUCAAUCUUAGCAACUAAACUAACAUUUUCAGUUCUAAGACAAGAAAUUGAAUCAUUUCAUGUAUUUAGCUCUUUAUUCAAGUUUUUGCAUUUUCAACUUCAAGAGCAAAAGCAUCUUUUAGCUUAACAAUUUUUUUAUUUUUCUUAACGAGCAAGUCCUCUUGGCAUUCCAAGAUUUCAUCCUUCUCGUUAAUGGUUUUUAACGAUUCAUUAUUUUUUCCUUUUUGCUCUAUGGUAAGGUUUGCAAAAAGAGAAGACAAAUCAUCAUCCUUUUCACUAGAGCUACCCUCAUCAUUGGAAAUAAUAUAUUUGGGGAUAUCUCUAGAAUGUACCUUCUUCUUUUUGCUAUCCUUGGCCAUGAGACACUUGUGGCCGACGUUGGGGAAGAGAAGACCUUUGUUGAUGGCGAUGUUGGCGGCGUCCUCGUCGGAGGAGUGGAUGGAGCCCUCGUGGGAGUCCCAUUCUCAUCCUAUGUGCGCCUCGCCACCCUUCUUCUUGUUGUAGUAUUUCUUCUUUUCCAUUUACUUCUUCCCUUUCUUGUCAUCGUCCCUGUCACUAUCACUUGUUUAUGGACAUUUAGCAAUGUAGUGACCAGACUUACCACACCGGUAGCAAAUCCUCUUGGAGCAGGGUUUGUACUCCUUCCCCUUCCUUUGCUUGAGGAUUUGCUAGAAGCUCUUAAUGAUAAGAGCCAUUUCGUCGUUGUCAAGCUUGAAGGCAUCAAUUAGGAGCAUAUUUGUUGGUGUAGUCUCUUCCCUCUUUUCUUCCUUUGCCUUGAAUGCAACGGGUUGCAUGUCACAUCCGGAUUUAAGGGACAAAGCCGGGUGCAUAUCAUAUAUGCGCCAACGAAGACAACACAUAUAAUAACAGAGUGUAUAGAGAUAAAUGUCACAAUAUCAUCAUAGUACUUGUAACACCCCUGGUGUUACUGCCACCAAAUUUGAGCAUAACAUCAUAAGCAUUGGAAUAUCAUGUGCUUGUCACACCUAGAGUGCAUUCACUAGGCAAAAAUUUCAAACAAGUUGUAUUGAUAUGACAUUUUAUGGGUGAAACCCUAGGAUACAGUACUUAACCCUAAACUGGGCUCAGAAGAAUAAACAAAGCUUAAAUAAGAGAAAACUUCAAGACUUAGUUGAAAUGAUCAUAAAAUAUCACCAUGGAUGGACUUGAGUAGCAUCCAAACCCUAUAAGUACCAAAAAUCCUAAAUAGACCCCUGGAGAACCCUAGACGAAAACCCUAGAGGGUUAUCUGUAAAAGUGUGCACAUUUUGGACCUAAGUGCAAAAAUCAAGGAAAUAAGGUAUCUUAGGUCAUAUGGUUCACAUAUUUGGAGAUUUGCAAAUGAAACCCUAAGUUUUGGGCUUAUUUGCAAAAAGCCACAUUUGUGCUCCAAUGCUUAAGUUUGAAUUUUAGUGGUAUAGGGUCAACUUUGAAGCCCUAUAUCUUCCAAAUUAUGAAGAUUUUGCCCUACGUCAACACAUCAAGUUUGAAGAGCUAUAAAAGGAGGACAACUUUGCUAUAGGGAUUAUGCCUUGGUGACAUGAAAUGUUUUGAGAUAAUUAGGCUCAAAGAUGGGCUGUCAGACUGCCCUAAGUCUAAAUUCAGGCAGACAGUGAGAUUGGAUAAACUUUGGGUUCAAUUUUAAGUAGGAUGUAGUGACAUUUUGUGGGUGCACAAUGUAGCAAAGUUAGAGCUGGUCUAUUAGGAUAUAACUUUGUUGCAGAGCAUUGGUCUAGUUGCCAUAUAAAAUUGAGAGGAAAUUCGCCCCAAAGCUGGUCUGUCAGACUGACUGAUGAAGCGUCUGAUGGUACAUUGAUCUGAACUUGAGCUCUGGUUCAGCCCCCCUCAUCGCCGGCGGCCUUUGCGCCCGGAUUCGCGCCGGCCGUCGCGAUUCGUGCCUUGGGCGAGUGGAUUUUGCUCACCGUGAAAAGAUCUCGUCGCGGAUGGGUUCGAGUUAUUGUGGCCUCGCUGUCCCCGACCCCUUGCACCGACGACGUGGCUUUACGGCCGUCACUAGAGUUGGCGUCCUUCACCACGAUCGUGCCACGCCCCAAGCCUUUAACCAUGUCGCUACUAGCCGCACCAGCUCACCGAUAACCGUCGUAGCUCCUCAACCAGUGAGUGCCACGGUAAAACGCGCUGGUGACUCACCCCUUCUUUCCGGCCACCGCGUGUCUUCACCAAAUUCACUGGCCACCGCUUAGCGCCACUAUAAAUUGACGGCACGGUCUGCUGCGUUGGGUCAUCACCAAGCCUGAGCACCCGCUCCUGCCGCCGAUUAGUCACCACAACUCUCCAAUUUCCCGUUCCCCCAAUUCUGUUUCCACUGUCGUGGUAGAGCCCUCACCGUGGUCAAUGAAUCCCAGGUCUGUUCAUGCACCCCGCUGUCUUGUUUCAACAUCCUUGGGUUCUCCUGAUGCUUCCCGACCCUGCCAAUUGGACUAGGACCCCUUAGAUCGUCAGGAAUGCGCUUGAUUGCCCGUAGUGCCCGCUGUCACCGUGGACAAAGUGUGUUAGAGCGUCGUUGGUGAAAUUAGUUGAGGGGAAACUCUUGUUAGGGUUUGAAUUCGGUCUCAGCCAUAGUAGAGCACCGGUCGUUGCGUGAAUCGGCCGGUACAAGCUCGUCGGAGUUUGGUUCCCCGCCGUUCGCCGUCGUGGACUGGGGAUUGUGAAGAGAGGAAAGCGCAAGGGUGUUUCUGCAAGUGUCAGCGAGACAGAGGAAUAGUGGGAGGGACUCUUUAAAGAAUUUCAUAACGUCAGGGCUCUCUGUGCAAAACCGACAGUGCGGGCGCGCUUUCGCCAGUGAAUGGGCCGACCCAGGCCAGUUUCAGCCCAAUCCUAUAGCAUGUUUUCCUUUUUCUUUUUCUUCUAGAUUUGAGAAUUCCCAGAAAAUUAUAGAAAAAUGCUAAAAAUACUAGACCAAUUUUGCUAGGCUUCUAAUUUCCUAUAGUAUUUAAUAAAAAUAGUUUCAUGAUUUUUAGUUCCAAUAGGGAAUUAAGGGACAUUUAAAACAAGCAAAAACCAUACUUCUGGAAUUUUACGGAAUAAUUAAUAAUUCCAAAAUUCACCAAACUUUUUAGGUAAACUUUAAAUAUUAUUUAGAAGCCUUGGGUAAAGUUAGGUAUGAUUUGGACCAUAUUUGAUACUUAGAACCCAAAACCCUAGCCCCCUGCCCUAUGAACCUCACUUUAGACUCUGAAAACCCUAGUUUCUCGGAGAUCUGUGAAGGAAAGUUAUAUUCAAUACAUUAGAUAAUAAACUUUUAUUAUCUUUGAAUUUUCAUGAGCAUUACAUGAGCAUUCAUGAUUAUAUAUGGUUAUAUCUAGAAAACGAGGAGGAAAUAGAAGUUGAAGAAGCGAGGACUUCACCACCACCACCUGAAGAACCUCAGGCAGGAAACUGCUUUUACUUUGAUAUCUGCGGGACAGAGCCUGAUUCACCUAUCACACAAGGCAAGCCCCGGUGCAUUUGCCACCUCCUUGCUGUUUUAAAAUCUUUCUCACUUACUUGAUGCAUUAGGUGAUAGGAGUUGUGUGCUAAACCAGUUGCUGCAUUUCCUUCCUUGGAUUUGAUUACUUCUCCUGAAUCCCUGAUUUACAACAAGGUUUUUCUUAUGCUUAGCUUUGCUCUAGAAAACAAAAUGUUUUGUUUUCACAAAAGAUGGUGCUUCAAAGUGGGUGGGAUGUUUUGAAAAAUAAAACUUGAUGGUGGAUCCAUCAUGGCCAUGAUGGGUUCAGCAUCGGAAAAGACGUACCUCUGCGAGGUACCAAACUUUGGGUUUCAAAUUAUAAAGCUGAGACCAGGCGGGUGACUUGCACGAGAAGAGAGUCUCGGUGUAGUGUAACACCCCGGGAUCCACAAACACCCCAGAAUGCUACUAAACUACACAUCUGACAUUCAUAUAUAAAAUUUCGGCAGCAUCUCCUUUGAAAAAUUGCAUAAACGAGGGCAAUAGUGAAUAAACAUAUAUCAUGACAAAGACAUAGUAAGCAUUAUUAAUCUGCUAGCAAAGGGAAGUUAAACAUAACGACAUGAACUGAAUUAACCAAUGCCCACGAUUAGAAAAAACAAACAUCUAUAUCGAGUUUCUAAUUAAAUCAUGGCUGCAACUGGGCAGCGUUAUUAUAAUAGUGAAGGUGGACGUGCUGCUACUUUUCUCAUUCCCAACAUGAAUCAAGUACCUGCGUUGAGUAAUGCAAGAGUGAGAUGAUACAUUGCAGCAAGCAAAUUGUUUUGACGAGAUAUUUAAACCACAAAUUGAAUUAAACAACAUUUUAAAGGAAUCACAAUUGAGAUCAGAAAUACUUGUAGAUAUAGAACUCAAUAGUCCCAAUAUAACCAAUACCAUCUCAUUUCCUCGAACAACCACAAUAGGUUGUAUAACACUCCCCUGCGUCAACAAUACCUACAGAUAUCACUUCAUUGUAUGCAUAGGAAUGCAAUGUGUAGGUCCUCUAACCUCAUACCUCUGAGAGUAUAAAACCACAUCAUCUGCUAAUAUCACUUCAAUGAAUGCAUAUGAAUGCAAUGCAUAUGUCCUCUGCCUUCAUACCUCUAAGGGUAUGAAGCCGCAUCGUACCCCUCCUCGAGCAACGUACGAUGCUAAGUUGUACCGGUACGGUCGGACCAUAGGUCACGACCAAACUUCAGAUGCAAAUGAAUCAUGCAAUGCAUAUGACAUGCUGCAUUUAUCAAUAUACUUCACUUCCUUCAGAUACAAUACAAACCUCAAAUAAUACUUCAUCUUCGUUCAGGGGUGUAAAUUAAUCUCAUUGGUGAUACUCGAACCAUAAUCAUCAUCCAUAUAUGAUAGAUCAUCAAUAUAAUACAGUCAAGUAAAACAUCAUCAUAGAGUUCAAUUAUGAAAGAAUCCAAUAAUUCUGAAUAUUAGAGUGUAGGCGAUAGAAAUAAUAGGUCAAAACGGUAGCAACCACCGCUACAGAUUCUGCAUAGAAUUAUGAGACAGAAAAACUGCUAUAAUCAAACCGCAAUAACUUUCUGAUCUGAUGUCCGAUUGAGGUGUUCUUCGUGGCCACGGAAAGAUCUACAAAUUAUCUACGACUCAUAGAUAGACUUCUUAUUUUUUUGAGGCCACUAAGACCACAGAAAACUGGCAUGAACAGAAACUGUCGAAUCUGCCAUUCUGCAGAAACUAAAUUUGAGAUCAAAAUCUAACCCCCACAUCCAAUCCAACGAAAUUGCAGCACAAUUACCAAAAGGAAAAUAAUAUCACCUUGGACUCCUUUUCUUUCUUUCUUCUUCCUCCCACCAAUUCACCAAUGGAGAAUGCAGCACACCAAAGGAGCAACCAUGGGGGCGGCUAGGGUUUAAAGGGAAGUGGGUGCAACACCUUGGGGAGGAGAGGAGCGGCUGCAAUGGGGAAGAAGGGGGGGGCGGCUGCUGCUAUGAGGGAAGGGGAGGGGUGGCUAGGGUUUUUGAGAAGAGGAGGGAGCGAUGCCCCCGAUGUCCUUGAUGCGAAACCGACGGCUCACAACCAAAUACCCCAUCCAUGCCCCGAUUUAGACAAUUGAAUACUCAAAUGAUAUCGUUUAAAUGAGAUCUUCACAUCUGCGGACUCCGAACUUCCAACGGCCCACAACCAUUUUCCCACAUCCACGCACCGAAGAUCAACUUUUGGUCAACAAUUUUUUUGGGAUAUUACACUCUACCCCCUUAAAAAGAAUUCGUCCUCGAAUUCGACCACUCCCAGCAAAACAUCCAAGGUACCCCAAAUAGCACCACCAUUCAAAACAUGGGUCCAUUAUUGGUAUUAAUCAACACAAGAACUUCUACCUCGGACUAAUUGUCUAAGGAAGCUACACAACCUGACAACAAGUAUGAAACAACAUGCAAUGAAGCUCAAAGCAAGUCAUAGAUGCAAUCAACACUACGAUUUCACAACAUCGAAUUUGGAUGCAGCCAUACAUCAGCAUCAAUGUCUUAAAACGACACUCUUUUAUGAAGGGGUAAUAUGCACUAAGCACAACCCUUACCAACUUCAACAAUUCAUUUUAAUUAAAUGGUGAAACAUCCACACCAGAUGAACAUAUAAGAAGAUCAAACACCUCACCUCACAGCACCAUAAAACAAGUAGUUCUAUUGAAUCAAAACUCCUAAUCUUCCUAAACCCUGUUCUUGUCAUCAUGAAAAGAUAAUCAUGUAAUCUAACAUUCUUUGCACCCCAAAAAGGGCAAAAGUCUACAGAACUAAUGGAGCAAUAAAGCCGACAAGAAGCCAAUAACAUUUUGCGCAGCACAGUUCAUCGAUGAAAUACCAAAAACUCCACAAAGAGCAUUGACAGCACAACAACAACACAAUACUUGCUUAACCAAUGUCGCUAUACUUCAUUCAACAACUCAAUUAAGAAAAAUAUCCAAACUAGUAAGAUUAACCUACACAUAAUAUAAGUCUUCAUCUACUGUAGUUCAGAAACUUACAUUUCAUUCUAUCAUACGAUGCACUCAAAGUACCAGACAUACGAGGUCAAUAAUAACCCCUUAAUCCUUCACACAUUUGACAAACAUCUCAAGUUGAGGUAAAAACCACAUCAUUUAGGAAUAGGUGACUAACCACACACUACCAACUCUAGGCUAGGCAAUGACUUCAUUCAAACCAAUAGAUAGGUGGUCCAACAAUGGCUCCACAAGCAUGCAUCGGGGAGAGAACCAUCUGAUCCUCAACGUAUUAAUACAUAAUCAAUGGAUCAAGAAAAACAAAGAUUUAUUCUACAACUAGCAUGACUAACAUGCAACCACUUUAAACCACCUCUAGGCUUUGUGGCUACUAAAACACACAAUAGAAGAGAGACAUGUAAGCCAUUCUGGCUAUGAAAAGACUUCCCCCAAAAUCCAUAUAAAAGACCAAUAUUCAUUUCUUUCAGAACUGGUUUCUCGACAUAAACAUUCAUUCUUUACAAAGAUAGUUGGAGCUAUCCACCAACCACUCAACAACUUAAAUUCAAAUUGAUGAUUACCUUGUACCCCAAAAACACGCAAUUCACACUCCUCUUAGAAACAUCCUCAAUCAAGCAUAUAUAACAAUAUUAUUGUAAUAAAACUCACCCAUGAAAAACAUGGUGAAAACAACAUAGGCAUACUUGUAUAUCACAAGCAUAGUAACAACUUCAAUCUCACAAAUGACCAGCGAUAUGAACUGCAUUAAUAAAACAAUAUCAAAAUUUCAGAAAUAAAUUAUAUCAAGCAUUAAGCCAUAAACAACUUACCACAUCACCGUAAAGGAAUGGGGAGGGGUGAAAUUAUUGUCAUCUGCACUUCAAAGACACUAAUAUAUAUCAAAGAUACAUGAACCCAUACCCUUCCUAUAUGUGCAAGUGUGUCAAAUUUAUCUUCAAAUUGCCAAGAAUCUAAAGCCUAAGCUUUGAUACCAACUGUAACACCCCGGGAUCCACAAACACCUCGGAAUGCUACUAAACUACACAUCUGACAUUCAUAUAUAAAAUUUCGGCAGCAUCUCCUUUGAAAAAUUGCAUAAACGAGGGGAAAUAGUGAAUAAACAUAUAUCAUGACAAAAAACAUACUAAGCGUUUUUAAUCUGCUAGCAAAGGGAAGUUAAACAUAACAACAUGAAUUGAAUUAACCAAUGCCCACGAUUAGAAAAAAACAAACAUCAUUUGACAUUGAGUUUCUAAUUAAAUCAUGGCUGCAACUGGGCAGCAUUAUUAUAAUAGUGAAGGUGGACAUGCUGCUACUUCUCUCAUUCCCAACAUGAAUCAAGUACCUGCAUUGAGUAAUGCAAGAGUGAGAUGAUACAUCGCAACAAGCAAAUUGUUUUGACAAGAUAUUUAAACCACAAAUUGAAUUAAACAACAUUUAAAGGAAUCACAAUUGAGAUCAGAAAUACUUGUAGAUAUAGAACUCAAUAGUCCCAUAUAACCAAUACCAUCUCAUUUCCUCGAAUAACCACAAUAGGUUGUAUAACACUUCCCUGCAUCAACAAUACCUGUAGAUAUCACUUCAAUGUAUGCAUAGGAAUGAAAUGUGUAAGUCCUCUAACCUCAUACCUCUGAGAGUAUAAAACCACAUCAUCUGCUAAUAUCACUUCAAUGAAUGCAUAUAAAUGCAAUGCAUAUGUCCUCUGCCUUCAUACCUCUAAGGGUAUGAAGCCGCAUCGUACCCCUCCUCGGGCAACGUACGAUGCUAAGUUGUACAGGUACGGUCGGACCAUAGGUCACGACCAAACUUCAGAUGCAAAUGAAUCAUGCAAUGCAUAUGGCAUGCUGCAUUUAUCAAUAUACUUCACUUCCUUCAGAUACAAUACAAACCUCAAAUAAUACUUCAUCUUCGUUCAGGGGUGUAAAUUAAUCUCAUGGGUCAUACUCGAACAUUAAUCAUCAUCCAUAUAUGAUAGAUCAUCAAUAUAAUACAAUCAAGUAAAACAUCAUCAUAGAGUUCAAUUAUGAAAGAAUCCAAUAAUUCUGAAUAUUAGAGUGUAGGCGAUAGAAAUAACAGGUCAAAACCGUAGCAACCACCGCUACAUUCACUUGCCUUCAUCGAAGAAGAAAAAUGUACUAGGCAUGAUCCAGAGUGUAGCCACCUGCUAGCGGAUAUAAAACUUAGUACAAAUAUUUCACAAACAUUUGCCAACAAUCAACAAAUUGCUCCUACACUUGAAACCAAGACUCGGUGGAAAGACUCCCACCCUGAACCACAUGCCAAACAGCAGCAGCGCUGUUUGUUAAUUUUGUAUCUUUAAAAUUAUAAAAGUGAUGACAUCAAACAAAUACUCUAGGAGUAUCUACACAAAAUACUCUACAACUUUGGUAUUCAAUGGAUAAUUAAAUUCUUCCAUCUAUAAGUUCUAAAACAUUUGAUAAGAUAACUAACUGAAUCUGUUUCAGUCAGCAGCAUAGUUAACUUCGAAAUUCGAUAUCUCACAAACUACUCAACCAAAAAUCAUGAAAUUCUACUAGCAGUAAGAACUUGUAUCCCUCUAAAGAAGUCCCUAUAGUUGGAAGAGCCAAUUCGGCCAUUUACCUAACAAAACCUACCAGUGAACAGAUCCGAUCAUUUUUGUUAGGCAAACAGGAACAGCCACAGUAAAACAAACAUAACUGGAGUUUCAUAAUUCAUAUGAAUGCAAUCUUUAACAAUCUGGAAAGCUUAUGAAAUUAUCUACAACUUUUCUUGCAAACUCAAGGUUUAAUUCUAUUGAUAAUAUUGCCUAAAUCUGAAGAGAACAGAUUCUGCAUAGAAUUAUGAGACAGAAAAACUGCUAUAAUCAAACUGCAAUAACUUUAUGAUCUGAUGUCCGAUUGAGGUGUUCUUCGUGGCCACGGAAAGAUCCACAAAUUAUCUACGACUCAUAUAUAGACUUUUUUAUUUUUUUGAGGCCACUAAGACCACGGAAAACUGGCAUGAACAGAAACUGUCGAAUCUGCCAUUCUGCAGAAACUAAAUUCGAGAUGAAAAUCUAAUCCCCCCAUCCAAUCCAACGAAAUUGCAGCACAAUUACCAAAAGGAAAAUAAUAUCACCUUGGACUCCUUUUCUUUCUUUCUUCUUCCUCCCACCAAUCCACCAAUGGAGAAUGCAGCACACCAAAGGAGGAACCAUGGGGGCGGCUAGGGUUUAGAGGGAAGUGGGUGCAACACCUUGGGGAGGAGAGGAGCGGCUGCAAUGGGGAAGAAGGGGGAUGCUACAAAAAUGAGGGAAGGUGGGGGUGGCUGCUGCUAUGAGGGAAGGGGAGGGGCGGCUAGGGUUUUUGAGAAGAGGAGGGAGCGAUGCCCCCGAUGCCCUUGAUGUGAAACCGACGACUCACAACCAAAUCCCCCAUCCAUGCCCCGAUUUAGACAAAUGAAUACUCAAAUGAUAUCGUUUAAAUGAGAUCUUCACAUCUGCGGACUCCGAACUUCCAACGGCCCACAACCAUUUUCCCACAUCCACGCACCGAAGAUCAACUCUUGGUCAACAAUUUUUUUUGGGAUAUUACAUGUAGUGUCUCCGUCUGAGUCGAUUAAGGACCUUCUUGAUGUAGGCUUGCUGAUCAAGGACCCUUUAACUGGUCACAUGCUUCAUCAUGGGUAAGCUUUGCCUCGGGCAGACUAAUACCAGAAUAAGAUAACACGCAAUGGGAGUGGAGAGAUGGCGAGAGUAGCGUGUACCCUCCGUGGCAAGAGGCUGGAUGGUGGUGUAUCUGUGCUCUCGGUUGGCGUGAACCUGAUCUGGUCUUAAGAACCCUGGUGGCGAGCUGACAUAUGCAAGGGUUAAGUGCUACAUAUGUCAUGUGAUUGGAGAUCCUUAGCUGAGUAUAAUCGAUUCGGAUCACCGUAACUUCACGGACAUGAAGACUUGGUCACUGCCCUACACGUAGCAUUCCAGUGAAUAAGAAGGGUUGUUAAGAAAUUUGCUAGUAUAGGUCAAGUGAUUGAACUAGGGUAGAAAGAACUCUAGAUACAAGUAAAUUUACUUAACCUGACAAGUAAAACUGGAUUUUAAGGAUCCACUAUUAGUAAGCAUUUAUGCAAACAUAGUCUUUGAUUAUUGAUAAGCUAUACCUUGACUCCCAAAGGCCAGCAUAUCCUUGAGAGUCUUUUAUUUUGACGGGUAAGACUUGCAAAAGUACAUUUCGUACUCAAGGCUUUGUCCCAUGUUGUUUUAGGUGAUGAAGUAGCAAACUUUUGUUGUUUCUGUUCCAAGGUGGCACCAAAAGAAGAAAAUCAAGAUUGAAGCUGCAGGAGGAAAGGUCCUCCGUUAAGAAAAACCUUUUACUGUUUAUCGGGAGCGGUUUUCGCCUCCCAGGUUAUGUAAUAAUAAUACUCAGCACUCUUAUAUUUGCUCUGGUCUAUAAUAAAUACUACUCUUUCUUACUUUUAAAUAAAGUAAGUUAUUGUAACUACUUCCACAUUUUCGUACCUCCAAUGUAUUGUAAUGUCUGUGUGACGGGUAAAACGCUCUUGGGCAAGGUAAGGAAUUCAGAAACCGAAUUUGUCAAGUGGUCAGGCGCACCUGCAGGGUUGUCUGAGUUCCGUUGGACAAGCACAACUAUAGGUGGGCCUAAUGACUUGGGAGGUUCUGUCACAGCUGGUAUCGGAGCGAAGCCCAUCUCUGCAGAUGUUAUGAGACAUUUUCAAAAAGAAUUUUCAAAGACUUAUCUAGAAAUUUUCUUUCCUUCUUAUCUAAGUACCUUCUGAAGUACUUAUUUUAAAGAUCAGAUAGUAGAGUGCAAUGUAUAGAAGGUUGUGCAUCAACUAAGGUUGAUUCUUUAAUUAUACAUGCAUCAUACUAAAAACUAUACUAAUAAAAAUUUCCCCCUCAUGGAGAUAUGACGCCGCGCACAAGAAAAAUCGCGCGCAAGUCUACCAGGCCAAUUGGCGUACCCCGCCAUCAACUAGCCCCAAGGCAUGAGGACAGUAGUAGUGGUAGCAAUGAUCCUAUCGGAGAUCUGGAAGCUCAAGUAGAACAGCUUCGAUCAGAGCUCCGUCACAGGAACGAAGUAUGGGUCGAGGAUGGUCAGCGAAUAAACGAGUUGAGAACGGACAUCCGACACUUGCAAGACCAACUUGCUGAACGAGAUUUAGCGCUCGAUUGGGCUGUUAACUCACGUUCACUUGCUUUGUCCAAGGAAGCCAAAGCUCGAGCCCGCAUGGAGGAGCUUAGCACAGUCAUGGACAACUUACAGGUUUACUAUAAUACACUACAUGAGGAAGUUCAUGUAUUGUAUUCACAACUGCACCCUAAGUACAUGCGGAUCCUGUCGGAAUGGAAGCAGGAUCUUCUGGAGCAGCGGGUGAAGCCCUUGGUGGGGAACUGGACCUUUUUAGGCCCCCUCCUUCAAUGAAUCUGGUCGACGAAUGGUCUCCUACACCCGACAGCGAAGCUACCAAAAGUGAUAAGAAGCUAGAGUAGUGUAAUAUAGAAAUAGUGAUAAUGUGUAAUAGGUAAUGUAAUCCUGUUGUAAAUUCGAGUCUGUAUCAUUACCUUUUGAAGUAAUGUAAAAUAGAUGGUUUGCUUUGGCAUAUUAUAUUUUCCAAAUGUUCUUUGCCUCAGAUGUCGUCCAGGACCCGUGGACAGGAUGGUGCGGGAACCUCCCGUGGGUGGGAAGCUACUCCUAACCCGCCACCAGUACCCCCAACCUUGGCUGAGGUUAUCGCUGCCUUAGUCAAUGCAACAGCCGAUAACACCCGCUUUCUGCGGGAAAUGGCGGGACAACAAAUGCAACAGCAAGGCGGGCGAGCGUAUCCGCAAGGACCCCGCGAAACUUCAUAUUUGGACUUCUCAGAGACACGUCCCCCAUUAUUUGUCAAGGCUGAAGAUCCUCUUGAAGCAGAUGAGUGGAUCUGGGUUAUCGAACAAAUGUUUGGGCUUCUCCGAUGCACAGAGACUCAAAAGCCCUUAUUUGCGGCGCAACAGUUGCGGGGCCCUGCCAGCACUUGGUGGGGAAAUUAUGUGGCUAUCCAGCCUGCUGGUCAUCAAAUUACCUGGGACGAAUUCAAACUGGCUUUCCGGGAGCACUAUAUUCCUGAAGGGGUGCUCCGUAUGAAAUAGGAAGAAUUUAUGAAGCUCAAACAGGAUGGAGAUACUGUCACUCAGUAUCUCAACAAAUUCAACCACUUGUCCCAGUAUGCCAUCGAUCAGGUCAACACUGAUUUGAAGAAGAAAAAUUGUUUUAUGAGAGACCUCAAUGACCGGUUGCAGCGAAAAAUGGCCACGUGCCUCGACCUCACUUACAGCAGGGCUGUCAGCACGGCGCUGGCAGUUGAAGCCAAAUAUGCAGGCCCAGGAAAAUCAAAGGGCUAUGGAGGCGACAGGCCCAACCAGGGGCCUGAGAAGAGACAAAGGUUGGUAAUCCGACCUUUUAAUCAAAAUCGUUCUUCACCACGUCCACCCUCCUACCCCUUCAAGCAACCAGUCCUUAUCCGUCCUGCCGAUGCCCCCACCUCUACGAAUCAGCCGGGUGCCCCUGGUACUCGUUUCCCUGCCCUCCCAAGCUCUUCAACAGGCUGCUUUAAUUGUGGAAAGUUCGGACAUUUUAUCAAGGACUGUCCAUACCCAAAGCAGAACAGAUCAAAUAAUCAGCAGAGUUCAGGGAGUUCCGCUCAAGGACUAGGCGGAUUUAUUAUAUUCAAGUGGCCACGACACCGGAAGGAGAACCGGUUAUGAUGGGUACGUUUCUUGUGGCCAAUCACCCUGCAGUUAUUCUUUUUGAUUCUGGUGCUUCACAUACAUUCAUAAGCAAGAAGUUUGUGGAGCAACAUUGCAUUCCAUACAAUGAAUCAAGGGAAGGGUUUAUAAUUCAUUCGCCUUGGGGACAAAUAUUCACUAAAGAGGUGGCUUUCCAUGUGCCCACAACAUUGGCUGAACGGGACAUUCCUACCAACAUGAUUGUUCUAAUAGGCCAAGAUAUAGAUGUAAUUCCGGGCAUGAAUUGGUUAGCCCAGCAUAAAGCAAUCCUCAACACUGAUCUGAGAACCAUUAGGUUGAGUUAUGGCCAAGAAGAGGUUCUCUUAUCCAUCCCCGUAGCCAUUCCAGCUAAACCAUUUGGCAGAGUAUAUGAAGCCAUUAUAACGGAGAUCCAAGAUAUUCCGGUAGUAUGUGAAUUCCCGGACGUCUUUCCAGAAGAUCUGCCUGGAUUGCCUCCAGAAAGAGAUGUAGAAUUUGUGAUUGAGUUGAAGCCCGGUAUGGCUCCUAUUUCUAGAAGGUCGUAUCGAAUGCCUCCAAAUGAACUGGCAAAACUCAAGACCCAAUUACAAGAUCUACUAGAAAAGGGAUUCAUCCGACCAAGCUCAUCACCUUGGGGUUGUCCAGCCAUCUUUGUGAAGAAGAAGGACCAAACACUUCGGAUGUGCGUGGAUUAUAGACCCCUUAAUGAGGUCACAAUCAAGAAUAAGUACCCUCUUCCCCGGAUUGACAUCCUAUUUGAUCAACUUACCGGAGCCUGGGUAUUUUCCAAGAUUGACCUCAGGUCGGGUUAUCAUCAGAUCCGUAUCAGACCCGAAGAUAUACCCAAGACCGCAUUCACUACGUGGUAUGGAUUAUUUGAAUAUCUGGUUAUGUCUUUCGGACUAACAAAUGCUCUUGCCCACUUCACAUAUCUUAUGAAUUCGGUAUUCAUGCCCGAGUUGGAUAAAUUCAUGGUGGUAUUCAUUGAUGAUAUCUUGAUAUAUUCUAAGAAUGAAGAGGAGCAUGCUCGGCAUUUGCAGAUCGUAUUAAAGUGCUUAAGGGAGCAUCAACUAUAUGCUAAAUUCAGUAAGUGCGCGUUUUGGCUGGAGGAGAUCCAAUUUCUGGGAUAUGUAUUAUCUGCCAAGGGGAUUGCGGUGGAUCUCAGCAAAGUCAAGGAUAUUUUGGAGUGGAAACCCCCAACCACUAUACAUCAAGUCCGAAGUUUCCUUGGACUGGCUGGUUAUUACCGUCGAUUCAUUCUAGAUUUUUCAAGCUUGUGAAACCAAUCACAAGUUUAUUGAAGAAUGAUACUAAAUUUAAUUGGUCUUCAAGAUGUAAUGAAGCCUUUGAGCAGCUGAAAGUAUUAUUUACCACAUCAGGCAGUGGUCUAGGCUGUGUUCUAAUGCAAGAAGGUCCAGUGAUAGCUUAUGCUUCAAGGUAGUUACGCCGGCAUGAGGAACAUUAUCCAACUCAUGACCUGGAGUUAGCUGCUGUGGUUCAUGCCCUAAAAAUAUGGCGUCAUUAUCUGCUGGGGAAUAUAUGUCAUAUUUAUACAGGUCAUAAAAGUUUGAAGUACAUCUUUACAUAGUCAGAGUUGAAUAUGAGACAGAGGAGAUGGCUUGAGCUGAUUAAAGAUUAUGAACUGGAGAUUCACUAUCACCUAGGCAAGGCUAAUAUAGUGGCAGAUGCGUUAAGUCGCAAGGCUUUCUGUCAUUGUCUUACAAUGAAGACUUCUGACAUUAUGUUGUGCCAAGAAAUGGAGAAGUUGAACCUGGGAAUAAUUCAACAUGGAACUUCAAAUCACUUAAAGCUUGAGUCAAUCCUCCUGCAAAGAAUAAUUGAUGCCCAAAGAAAUGAUGUGGGUAUGAAACACAUUCAUGAGAAAAUAGAGGCAUGUAAAGCCAACUGCUUCAGAAGAGAUGAUCAAGGUGUUGUAUGGUUUAACCACCGCAUAGUUGUGCCUAAGAAUGAUGAGAUCCACCAGCAAAUUUUAGAUAAAGCCCAUCUUAGUCGCUAUUCUAUUCAUCCCGGAAGCACUAAGAUGUAUCAUGAUCUAAAACAUCAUUAUUGGUGGACAAAGAUGAAGGUUGAAAUCACACGCUAUGUGGCAAGAUGUGACACUUGCAGACGUGUCAAAGCCAUAUAUAUGAAGGCUACUGGUCCAUUACAAUCUUUACCUAUACCAACAUGGAAAUGGGAGGAUAUAAGCAUGGAAUUUAUUGUGGGAUUGCCCAGGACAGCAAGAGGGUAUGAUUCCAUCUGGGUCAUUGUUGAUCAACUUACAAAGAUCGCCCACUUCCUUCCAGUCCGGGUAAAGUAUACAAUGGCCACAUAUGCAGAGUUAUACAUUGGCCGUAUUCUUAGUUUGCAUGGUGUUCCAAAGACCAUAGUGUCGGAUCGUGGACCGCAAUUCGUGUCCAAAUUUUGGGAAGAACUUCACAAGGCUUUGGAUACUAAAUUGCUCCAUAGUUCGGGCUAUCAUCAUCAAACCAGUGGGCAAACUGAGAGGGUAAAUCAAAUACUUGAGGACAUGUUACAAGCUUGUGCUCUAGAAUUUCCACAGAAAUGGGAUGAAUGCUUUCCAUUGGCGAAAUUCUCAUACAAUAACAACUAUCAAGAGAGCAUCAAAAUGGCACCCUUUGAAGCGCUGUAUGGGCGACGAUGUCAUACUCCGUUAAACUGGUCUGAACCAGGUAAAAGAGGUUUCUUCAGGCUUGAUAUGGUAAAGGAAACAGAAGAAAAGGUUCAGCGAAUAAUUCAUAAUUUCAAAGAAGCCCAAGCUCGACAGAAGAGUUAUGCAGACAAGCGACGUCAACCCUUACACGUUCAAGUUGAAGAUUAUGUCUACCUGAAAGUUUCACCAAUGAAGGGUUUAUCGCGUUUCGGGGUAAAGGGGAAGCUUGCACCCCGAUACAUUGGUCCUUUUCCUAUCCUUGAAAGAUAUGGACCAGUGGCAUACUGACUCCAGUUACCCGAAACCUUGUCUGCAGUACAUAACGUGUUCCACGUGUCUCAAUUGAAGAAGUGUCUUCGGGUUCCCGAUCGAACCAUUGAAGUAACAGAUGUUACCUUAGAACCAGACUUGACAUAUUUCGAACAUCCUAUUCGAGUCUUGGAUCAAAAGGAUAGAAUUACCCGAAGGAAAACUCUCAAGUUUUACAAGAUACAGUGGAACCAACAUACAGAAGAUGAAGCUACUUGGGAAACUCAAGACUUUUUAGAUAAGAAUUUCCCAGGCUUUUUAGCUUCGUGAAAAUUGUAAAGAUAUGUACACUUGUAAUAGAGGAAUGAACUCCAUAACACCCCUACCUUGUACCACAAAUAAGGAAAUAAAAGUAUGACACGUUUCCUUUUCCAUUACUUGCCCUAAAUUUUUAAUCUCGGGACGAGAUUCUUUUAUGGGGGGAAGGAUGUAACACCCCUAGUGUUACUGCCACUAAAAUUUGAGCAUAACAUCAUAAGCAUUGGCAUAUCAUGUGUUUGUCACACCUAGAGUGCAUUCACUAGACAAACCCUAGAAGUACCAAAAAUCCUCAAUAGACCCUUGGAAAACCCUGGACUGAAACCCUAGGGGGUUAUCUGUAAAAGUGUGCACAUUUUGGACCUAAGUGCAAAAAUCAUGCAAAUAAGGUAUCUUAGGUCAUAUGGUUCACAUAUUUGGAGAUUUUCAAAUGAAACCCUAAGUUUUGGGCUUAUUUGCAAAAAGCCACAUUUGUGCUCCAAUGGCUAAGUCUGCAUUUCAGUGGUAUAGGGUCAACUUUGAAGCCCUAUAUCUUCAAAAUUAUGAAGAUUUUUCCCUAGGUCAACACAUCAAGUUUGUAUAGCUAUAAAAGGACAACAACUUUGCUAUAGGGAUUAUGCCUUGGUGCCAUGAAAUGUUUUGAGAUAAUUAGGCUCAAAGUUGGGUUGUCAAACUGCCCUAAGUCUGAAUUCAGACAGACAGUAAGAUUGGAUGAACUUUGGGCUCAAUUUUAAGUAGGAUGUAGUGACAUUUUGUGGGUGCACAAUGUAGCAAAGUUAGAGCUGGUCUAUUAGGCUAUAACUUUGCUGCAGAGCAUUGGUCUAGUUGCCAUAUAAAAUUGAGAGGAAAUUCGCCCCAAAGCUGGUUUGUCAGACUGACUGAUGAAGCGUCUGAUGGUACAGUGAUCUGAACUUGAUCUCUGGUUCAGCCCCCCUCAUCGCCGGUGGCCUUUGCGCCCGGAUUCACGCCGGCCAUCGCGAUUCGUGCCUUGGACGAGUGGAUUUCGCUCACCGUGAAAAGAUCUCGUCGUGGAUGGGUUCGAGUUACUGUGGCCUCGGUGUCCCCGACCCCUUGCACCGGCGACGUGGCUUUACGGCCGUCACCGGAGUUGGCGUCCUUCACCGCGAUUGUGCCACUCCCCAAGCAUUUAACCACAUCGAUACUAGCCGCACCAGCUCGUCGAUAACUGCCGUAGCUCCUCAACCGGUGAGUGCCACGGUAAAACGCGCCGGUGACUCACCCCUUCUUUCCGGCCGCCGCGCGUCUUCACCAAAUUCUCUGGCCACCGCUUAGCGCCACUAUAAAUUGACAGCACGGUCUGCUGCGUUGGGUCAUCACCAAGCCCGAGCACCCGUUCCUGCCGCCGAUUAGUCACCACAACUCUCCAAUUUCACGUUUCCCCCAAUUCUGUUUCCGCCGCCGCGGUAGAGCCCUCACCGUGGUCAGCGAAUCCCAGGUUUGUUCAUGCUCCUUGCUGUCUUGUUUCAACAUUCUUGGGUUCUCCUGAUGCUUCCCGACCCUGCCAAUUGGACUAGGACCCCUUAGAUCGCCGGGAACGCGCUUGAUUGCCCGUAGUACCCGCUGUCACCGUGGACAGAGUGUGUUAGAGCGCCGUUGGUGAAAUUAGUUGAGGAGAAACUCUUGUUAGGGUUUGAAUUUGGUCUCAGCCAUAGUAGAGCACCGGUCGUUGCGUUAAUCGGCUAGUACAAGCUCGCCGGAGUUCGGUUCCCUGCCGUUCGCCGUCGUGGACUGGGGAUUGUGAAGAGAGGAAAGCGCAAGGGUGUUUCUGCAUGUGUCAGCGAGACAGAGGAAUAGUGGGAGGGACUCUUUAAAGAAUUUCAUAACGUCAGGGCUCUCUGCGCAAAACCGACAGCGUGGGCACGCUUUCGCUAGUGAAUGGGCCGACCCAGGCUAGUUUCAGCCCAAUCCUGUAGCAUGUUUUCCUUUUUCUUUUUCUUCUGGACUUUGAGAAUUCCCAGAAAAUUAUAGAAAAAUGCUAAAAAUACUAGACCAAUUUUGCUAGGCUUCUAAUUUCCUAUAGUAUUUAAUAAAAAUAGUUUCAUGAUUUUUAGUUCCAAUAGGGAAUUAUGGGACAUUUAAAACAGCCAAAAACCAUACUUCUAGAAUUUUAGGGAAUAAUUAAUAAUUCCAAAAUUCACCAAACUUUUUAAGUAAACUUUAAAUAUUAUUUAGAAGACUUGGGUAAAGUUUGGUAUGAUUUGGACCAUAUUUCAUACUUAGAACCCAAAAACCCUAGCCCCCUGCCCUAUGAACUUCACUUUAGACUCCGAAACCCUAGUUUCUCGGAGAUCCGUGAAGGAAAGUUGUAUUCAAGACAUUAGAUAAUAAACUUUUAUUAUCUUUGCAUUUUCAUGAGAAUUACAUGAGCAUUCAUGAUUAUAUAUGGUUAUAUCUAGAAAACGAGGAGGAAAUAGAAGUUGAAGAAGCGAGGACUUCACCACCACCACCUGAAGAACCUCACGCAGGAAACUGCUUUUACUUUGAUAUCUGCGGGACAGAGCCUGAUUCACCUAUCACUCAAGGCAAGCCCCAGUGCACUUGCCACCUCCUUGCUGUUUUAAAAUCUUUCUCACUUACUUGAUGCAUUAGGUGAUAGGAGUUGUGUGCUAAACCAGUUGCUGCAUUUCCUUCCUUGGAUUUGAUUACUUCUCUUGAAUCCCUGAUUUACAAAAAGGUUUUUCUUAUGCUUAGCUUUGCUCUAGAAAACAAAAUGUUUUGUUUUCACAAAAGAUGAUGCUUCAAAGUGGGUGGGAUGUUUUCAAAAAUAAAACUUAAUGGUGGAUCCAUCAUGGCCAUGAUGGGUUCAACAUCGGAAAAAAUGUACCUCUGCUAGGUACCAAACUUUGGGUUUGAAAUGAUAAAGCUGAGACCGGGUGGGUGACUUGCAUGAGAAGAGAGUCUCGGUGUAGUGUCUCCGUCUAAGUCGAUUAAGGACCUUCUCGAUGUAGGCUUGCUGAUCGAGGACCCUUUAACUAGUCACAUGCCUCAUCAUGGGUAAGCUUUGCCUCGGGCAGACUAAUACCAGAAUAAGAUAACACACAAUGGGAGUGGAGAGAUGGCGAGAGUAGCGUGUACCCUCCGUGGCAAGAGGCUGGACGAUGGUGUAUCUGUGCUCUCGGUUGGCGUGAACCUAAUCUGGUCUUAAGAACCCCGGUGGCGAGUUGACAUAUGCAAGGGUUAAGUGCUACAUAUGUCGUGUGAUUGGAGAUCCUCAGCUGAGUAUAAUCAAUUCGGAUCGUCGUAACUUCGCGGAUAUGAAGACUUGGUCACUGCCCUACACGUAGCAUUCCAGUGAAUAAGAAGGUUGUUAAGAAAUUGGCUUGUAUAGGUCAAGUGAUUGAACUAGGGUAGAAAGAACUCUAGAUACAGGUAACUUUACUUAACCUGACAAGUAAAACUGGAUUUUAAGGAUCCCCUAUUAGUAAGCAUUUAUGCAAACAAAGUCUUUGAUUAUUGAUAAGCGAUACCUUGACUCCCAAAGGCCAGCAUAUCCUUGAGAGUCUUUUAUUUUGAUGGGUAAGACUUGCAAAAGUACAUUUCGUACUCAAGGCUUUGUCCCUUGUUGUUUUAGGUGAUGAAGCAGCAAACUUUUGUUGUUUUUGUUCCAAGGUGGUACCAAAAGAAGAAAAUCAAGAUUGAAGCUGCGGGAGGAAAGGUCCUCCGUUAAGAAAAACUUUUUACUGUUUAUCGGGAGGGGUUUUUGCCCCCCAAGUUAUGUAAUAAUAAUACUCAGCACUCUUAUAUUUGCUCUGGUCUGUAAUAAAUACUACUCUUUCUUACUUUUAAAUAAAGUAAGUUAUUGUAACUGCUUCCGCA